UUUCUACAUUGUGCACAUUUUUUAAAUGUCUUAAAUAUAUAGCUCCGUUAAAGUAUCUCAAUAUGUGUGCGUGUCCUCUUAUUAGAGUGUCAAAAUUGUCUCUUAUUUUCUAAAAUUUAAUUUAUCCAUCUUAUUAACGAUAAAACUUUUCCCCUAAUCUACUGACCGAUACCUUUUUAAGAAAACCGGCUUAGUUUUACGAAAAUAAGAAUAAUUCAUAUU